rnacentral:rRNA from 1 species
AUUGAACGCUGGCGGCAGGCCUAACACAUGCAAGUCGAACGGUAACAGGAAACAGCUUGCUGUUUCGCUGACGAGUGGCGGACGGGUGAGUAAUGUCUGGGAAACUGCCUGAUGGAGGGGGAUAACUACUGGAAACGGUAGCUAAUACCGCAUAACGUCGCAAGACCAAAGAGGGGGACCUUCGGGCCUCUUGCCAUCGGAUGUGCCCAGAUGGGAUUAGCUAGUAGGUGGGGUAACGGCGCACCUAGGCGACGAUCCCUAGCUGGUCUGAGAGGAUGACCAGCCACACUGGAACUGAGGCACGGUCCAGACGCCUACGGGAGGCAGCGGUGGGGAAUAUUGAACAAUGGGCGCAAGCCUGAUGCAGCCAUGCCGCGUGUAUGAAGAAGGCCUUCGGGUUGUAAAGUACUUUCAGCGGGGAGGAAGGGAGUAAAGUUAAUACCUUUGCUCAUUGACGUUACCCGCAGAAGAAGCACCGGCUAACUCCGUGCCAGCCGCCGCCGUAACAC